UACGUAGGGUGCGAGCGUUGUCCGGAAUUAUUGGGCGUAAAGAGCUCGUAGGCGGUCUGUCGCGUCUGCUGUGAAAACCCGAGGCUCAACCUCGGGCCUGCAGUGGGUACGGGCAGGCUAGAGUGCGGUAGGGGAGAAUGGAACUCCUGGUGUAGCGGUGGAAUGCGCAGAUAUCAGGAAGAACACCGAUGGCGAAGGCAGUUCUCUGGGCCGUAACUGACGCUGAGGAGCGAAAGCGUGGGGAGCGAACAGG
rnacentral:rRNA from 1 species